UCCACCAGCCUCCCGCUGCUGGUCCCUAGCACGUUUGGUCCAGUGUGGAGAUGAUGCCGUGGACGGCCCUCCAUUAGCUCUCCAGGAUCUUGAGGCUGAACUGUGCUCCGAGCACCCUGAGUGUUCUCCUUCUGGAUGUUGCAGGGAGCAUUCCUUCCAGGUUCUCCUAAUGUGGUGCUUCCUGUCCAUGACCCAGAUUCCUCCACCACGAACCCAGAGGAGCUCGUGACCUCGGUAGCAGUGUGUCCAUGAAACUCCCCAUGAAUGUGGCUCGAGACUUGAGGCCUAGCUCUCAGCUUAUCACUGACACACAUGCAUUGACUAAAACCUUCCCCUCUAGUUCCAGGGAGCUGGAAAGGUACCCAGGCCAGAAUCUAAUGGCUGCAUGUCCCUGGGCACGCUACUCAAUCCAUCUGUGUCCCAACUUUCUCAUCUGCAAAGUGAGAAUAGCGAGAGAGUCCCUGCUAGGGACGUGUCUAGGAAAAGAGGCAUCACAUGGUACACCUUUCUGAAAGGCCCUGGAUAUACUUCAUGUUGCAGAAGUACUAACUAGUGUUGCCUCAGUGCCAACAGUAUUAGAGCAGUUAAAUUUCCAGAAAAGUAAACUGUUACACUAUGCUAAUAUCUAAUGCCAUGCUAAUUUCUUCUUAACAAGUCAGCUUUCAGCCAUUAUAAACUGAAAAUGAAUAGAAUAACCUGCCUAAGUGCCUCCAGCACCCUGCUUCCUGCACAUGGAGGAGUAGACACCUAGAGCACUCCAGGUGCCCUCCUGGAGGAGGCAGUGUGAAGAGAAGGGGUAGAGGCACCGCCACAGCGGAGCACAGGUGAAGCAGCCUAGCCACUGCCCUGACUCUGCCAGGGAGGAUGGGAAAGGGCUGUGAAAGUCAAGAGGGAAUAGUGCCAAACUCCUGAGGAAGAGACCAGGAAAGAAGAAAGCAGUCGGAAGACUCCAGCACUUCCCUGAGCUGCUUGUAGGCGGAUCUGCUGUGAUCACACCAGGAGGGCCACCAGCGUCUGCUGGUGCCCCCGUGGCUGAGGCGCAAGGCUGUGCUGCGAUCCCUGGCAGCGCUCACCAGCGGGGCUGGAAGGGCACGUCCUGGUGCUCCGCUGCCCGUGCUCUGUGAGGGUUAUUUGGCCACACGUGAUUAGGAUCUGGCUUGCUGUGCACAAAUGACAGCCUGGGUCCCUGUGUAAUCAGGAGACACCCCAGGUCCCUGUGUAAUCAGGAGAUACCCUGUGGGCAAAACAGAGGAUUAAGUGAUUGCAGCUUCAGAGAGCCACACACAGGCACCACUUGUAACUGCACCGUCAUCAUCACCAAGCUUCCAAGCUCAGUGCUAUCCUGAUGACACAGGCACUGGGGUGGCAUCUGCAGCCAGAGGGCCACGCUGGGCUGCUGAGGUUGCUACCCAGCCCUGUUUGGACCAAGCCUGGCACAGGGACGAAUGGCAUCCACCUGAAGUUGCACCAUUUCUGUUGAGUGUUUAACACAUCUUCCUCGUGACACCCCUCAUGGGGCCACUUGGCAUCUCUAGGUGACAUUGGCAAGACAGCUGGUGGGACUCAGUCCCCCACACAGUUCUCAGGAAGCAGAGGCUGCCCAAGCUGGCCUUUGCCAUGACUUCCUCAUUGCCAGAGGAAAAACGCAAGUGAGACAUGGACAGUGACAGCUUCGCACGUGCCUGUGUGUGCCUGCUCCUAGACAGUGCCUCUCAAAGGCUCCCAGGCCUCAGCUCUGCUUGGCUGUUAGCUGUGCCCUGAGCUUACACCCCAAGAAGAAGCCAUCACUCUGAUGGAUGUGGAGAUGCACCCUGACCAGUCGCCCACACUGAGCCCCAGGUGUCCAUCUCUCUUCAACAAGUUCCUUCUCCACCCAUGACCUGGCCACCCUGCUACACCAAUCUGCCCCUAAGCCUCCUGGGGUACCUCUGCUCCCAACACACUCAUUCCCCACUGCCACCUGAAGUCUGCAGAGUGCAGGUCUACAGCCUACUGACUCUGCUCUGUACACUGGCCAGCCUCAAACGGGACUCUGGUCACAUGACACAGAGCUGCCAUGUCUGUGGGACCACUGGAUAGUGACCACUGAGCCACAAUGCACAUCGCAUUCUUCAGCAAGGGACAGUAGAGCAGGUGGGAAGGCCCCUGCUCCCUCCAGCACAGAGAUGUGGUGUGCGUGUUAUUUUGGAGCAUUUCCAUUUCUCUACUCCUCUGGACGUGCAAAAGAAAAUUCCCAAAAGAAGCUAUGCAAGCCAGGGGUUUAAGGCAGACCGUCCACCUGAAACCCUGCUGGUCUGCAGAGAGCCCACCUGAGAACCUGCAGCUGAGCCCUGGCCUGCCUGCACUGCAAGCUGGUGCGGGGCCACUGUGCCAGCAGCUCGGGAUCUCGCUGCCGUGAAGUCACAAAAGGCUAUUUUGUGUUCUGAAUGAAAUUUGGAAACCCAGAAAUCAUUGAAAGAAGAAAAAGCAAAAAAAAAAAAAAAAAUGCAUGUGUGCGUGCGACAAAGUCUAAAGGCCAAUUGGACUUGGGCUCUGAGUGGGGUUCUGGGCUGGUUCCAGGAUCCUUCCCAGAUCAUCUGGCUCGGGCUGGGGUCUUCAGCCUCUCUAUCCACCCGCUGGGAGCAGGUAACGCUGCUGGUACCCACUGGAGCCUGGCCACAGAGCAUGAGCAGAGCAGAAGAGCUUGUCACGGCAGGAGGUGAGGAAAGGAGUGAGGGACCACGGGCAUCUGGACAGGCUGGACAGAGCUGGAGCCGAGACAGACAGGAAGAAGUGGGGACAGAGAGAGUCAUGGCCCUCCUCCCUGGUGACUUCCAAGACCAAUGUCACUGCACAGUCCACAGGUAUGUUCUUUCUCAUUAAAAAGAAAACUGGCUAAAAAGCAGCAGUCAAAAUGAGGGAAGGGAAGAGGAAAGGACGGGAGUGUAAACCUGAAUGGGGGCAAUGAAUGGCUUUCAGAAUUCCUCUCGAGUUUUGGGAAAUAAGGAAAUGUAAAUUGUUUUGAGUCAGAUCUAGUGAGGAAUCAAUAAAAAUAAAAGCAUCAAAAAAUAUUGUACCCCCCAAAUGAACGUAAGAGUCUAUCUGGUAAGGAUGCACUGAGUGAGAAUGUAUUUGGGGGUGCACCCAACAAGGUGGGUCCAAAGGGAACACACCAGUGAGAUGGACCCAACAGGAAUCCCCUAUGGGAAUGUCCAAGGAAAAUCCAGCAAGGACACACCCUGUAAGGACGUGUCUAAAGGAAAUAAAAGCUGACAACUGACCUUCCCACAGAAUUUGCAUAAAGAAUAUUAAAAAGUUCAUUGGGAAGGCUCAAUAGGAAAGAAAAUGUGAAAUCCUGAGCAUGGAAUGUUGAUUUGUUACAGUUCUGUUCUUUGGGGUUUUAGUGUAUCAUAAAAAUGACAUGUCUGAGAACGUCUAUCCCUGAAAAACACUGAAAUAUAAUAUAAAAUUAGCCAAUAAAAACCUUCAGGAAUUGC